CCCUCCUGCAAAAGCAUGUGUUGGUUCCCUGUAAGAAUCAGAGACAAGAUAUGUGGAUUUGGAGAAAUCUGGGAUGAGCUUGCUCCUCAGUCUCAAAAUCAACCAUCCCACAUAG
rnacentral:snoRNA from 1 species